UCGCUUCAGCAGCACAUAUUCUAAAAUUGGGACUAUACAGAGAAGAUUCGCAUGGCCCCUGCCCAAGGAUGACACACAAAUUCGUGAAGCACAAACACUUGAC